AACGCCUGGCUGCAGUUAAAAGCUCGUAGUUGGAUUUCGGGUGGGGCCUGCCGGUCCGCCGUUUCGGUGUGCACUGGCAGGGCCCACCUUGUUGCCGGGGACGGGCUCCUGGGCUUCACUGUCCGGGACUCGGAGUCGGCGCUGUUACUUUGAGUAAAUUAGAGUGUUCAAAGCAGGCCUACGCUCUGAAUACAUUAGCAUGGAAUAACACGAUAGGACUCUGGCCUAUCCUGUUGGUCUGUAGGACCGGAGUAAUGAUUAAGAGGGACAGUCGGGGGCAUUCGUAUUUCAUUGUCAGAGGUGAAAUUCUUGGAUUUAUGAAAGACGAACUACUGCGAAAGCAUUUGCCAAGGAUGUUUUCAUUAAUCAAGAACGAAAGUUGGGGGCUCGAAGA
rnacentral:rRNA from 1 species